UAAUUUCAGAUAAAGUAACAGUAGAUGUAAAAACAUUUAACUUGGGUCUUUUGGCAGAGCGAACCAGAUUCGGUUUUUGAAGGGAUCACAAUUGUCUCCGAAAUAUUGGGAACAAUAGCAAGAGGUUUUGUUCCUGAUAAAAUGACUAACACAAUCCCCAAUGCUUUUAAGGUGUAUCUUCUUCGCACAGAGAGAGAGACAGAGAGAGAGGGAUGGCGUUUCAUCUCUCAUCCACUGUAGUGGCCUCCUUAGCUUUCCAAGUCUGCUCUCUGUACUCCCUAAAGCACUGGAUCUCAGACACAAACCUCGCGACAGAAUUGUUUGAAGUGUUUAUGUUCAACUAUAGCUUUGUUAAACAUUAGCAGUUCUAUUUCUGGACCAAAGGCAGCAAUUGCUUUGGAUGGAAAAGAAAGACCCGUGUGUCAGAACUGUAGUGGUAGUGGUGCUAUAAUAUAAUAAGGUUCAAGAGCUUCACGAGCCUUCUACAGAAGAAGGGCCAAUGUCUAUAAAAAGUAAUGCAAUUGUUCAUGCAUUUGGUCCAGAACGGCAUGGUAGAGUAAGAGGGCUUGCAUUUGUGCCUGAAGAUGCUAUUGGAAGCACUGUUGCUUGGCCAACCCAUUUCAUUAGCUUUGACUUUGAGUAGAACAAACAUCUAUGGAUAGUUUUUGAGGACUUUGAUAAAUAGAUUUCUAUAAUUUUUGAAUAGUUUGGGGUAAUGUUUACCAACUUAUAUAUGUACAGUUUUGGAUGGUAUAUAACUUUUUGGAUAAUUUAUGACCCAUAAUUUUUCUAAAAAAAUAGACCGUAUAUAAUUUAAUUGAGUAAAUUUUGGAUUUGACUACUGUGUAAAUUCUGUGUGAAAAUAGUUCGAUUUUGUAUUUUUUUAAAAUAGUUCCCGAUCUCAGAAAAUUAUGAAAUUUUUAUAUCUUAUUCACAUAAGAGUCUAGCACGUUGGGUAAAAAUUUCAGAAUUUAAUGAUGAGUAUAUUUGAUGAAAAUUCGCGAACUGAUCGGUGUUCGGUCCAGUGUAUAGCAGAAUUUGAUUUUGAAUUUUGAGUGUUUGGACCAUGAAUUGAGAUAAACUAGUUGGGUUGAUUUUGGUAUAUAAUUGGACCAUGUUUCAAUUUAAUUUGAAUUUGUUUAUGAUUUAUAUUUAAUUAUUUGGUCCCUUUUAAUUAUGUGAUUAGUAAGUUAUUAUUAUUUAUUAUAUGGGAUUAUAAUAAUAUUCGAAAGUUGAAUUUAUGGUGGGUAUCAUAUGGUGAAAAAUUAUAUAUUUUUAUAGUAAAAGAAAUAAGUGCAUAUUUCAUAAUGAGCAAAAUAUUAUAUUUUGUGGUGUACAAAAAUAUUAUAUUUUGUGAUAGAAAAAAUUAUAUCAUUUUAUAAUUUAUAUUAUAAAAUUUGAAAGUAUUAUUUUAAAAAAAUUAUAUUUUUCAGAAAUGAAUUUAUUUUUUUAGAAGACAACCCACGUGGGCUGCCCUCAUCUCCCUCUUUCCUUAUCCUUUCCUUCUUUGCCCUUCCUUUUCCUUUCAUCUUUUUGUUGGUUGGCAGGGUGUCCUCUCUCUCUCUCUCUCUCUUUAUUUUUCAUGAUUGCUCAAGCUUUGAGUUUAGAGUGAGAAUUUUUAGAGUGAGAUUUUAUAAAAGUAUUGUAAAUGAAAGUCGGAGAGCUCAUCACAGUCUUCACAAUGGUAGUCUCGGAUUCAUGAUCGGGCAAGAUUUGCCUUCCAAAUCUGCUCUUCUUUAUUAUUUGAGCUCAUUUGGAAGCAAAAAGCAAAACACGGGGUCUAAAAGUAGCUCAAGUCAGAGCAGUGGGUUUAUUCCAAUUUGUCCUGAUUGCGGAAGGAAGCAUAGAGGUGUGUUACCGUACAUCUCAUGCCUAUUACCGGUGUGGCAAAGUUGGCCACAUAAUGAAAGAUUGUCCACUUGGGUCUGAGAAUGCCAAUCGCGUAGCAACAAGUUCAGUCGGAUCUACUUCUGUAUCGAGGUCAAACGCAAGAACUAAUGCUAGGGGCAACACUGGGAAUGAAAUGUUAAGGCAAGGGAGAGUGUUCACACAAGUACUUGGGGAUAUACAGAACACUGAAUCUGUGGUGUCAGAAUAAAGUUCAAGAGCUUCACAAGCCUUCUACAGAACAAAGGCCAACGUUUAUCAAAGAUGAUGCAAUUGCUCAAGCGUUUGGUCCAAAACGGCAUGGUAGUGCAAGAGGGCUUGGAUUUGGAGCAUUGCCUUCGAAAGUUGACGCACAAGCAUACCAAAAUCAAAAUAUGAGAAAACUAAAUCAAAAAUUGCUGCUCUUAGAACAAGAACUCUGAGAGAUAAAAGCUAAAAUGUUAAAAGGAAAAAGGCAAAAUCAAGUUUAAAAAAAUGAAGAAUGUGAUAAUAUAUGUUAUAUAUAUUGAUGUUUCAUUAAAGUUUAAAAAAAAAUCAAUUAAAACUUGUAGGAACCAAGCGAAGAUGCAACGGGCAAAAAAAAUUCUCAUGGAGAAACCCAGGUAGCUUUUUCUAAUUCUUUGUCUUUUUUUCUAAUUUUAUGAAAAGAACUAUACAGUCCAUAGACUUCUUAUUUAAAUUUAUUAUCAUAAUGGGUCUCGUGUACAUUUAUUAAAAUUGGAAUUUCUUGUCACAUGUGCUUCCCAUCUUGGAUAGAAGGAUAUUUCACAAAAUUUGUAAAAAAUAAAAAAUUGAUUAAUACUUGUAGGAGCUAAUUAGCAAAGGGGCGAAUGGACACUCACAUGGAGAAAUCCAGGGUAAGGAAAACAGUAGAGGUGAACAUAGGGUGCACGGAGGUGGUGAACGUAGAAUGCAAUCACAACAAAAUAUUUGGUUGCAUGAUGCAAAUGGAAAUGGAAAUGAUGGAUCUUUGGACAAUGCCAAAUGUAAAUUGUUGAAUUGGGAUAGAACAAAGCUGGUGGUUGAGGAACGCACAAUUGCAUCAACAGAUUCUAAAGCAUUGGUACAUCACGUGCCUCUUGGCCCUAGGUGUUGGAAAGUACGGGUUAACCAUGUCAUAGUCAAUGCGCCAUUGUUUCGCCCUAAUCGUGAGACGUUUGUGCUUGAGAAUGCUAUUGGAAGCACUGUUGCUUGGCCAACCCAUUUUAUUAGCUUUGACUUUGAGUAGAAUUCCUAACAUCUAUGGAUAGUUUUUGAAGACUUUGAUGAAUAGAUUUUUAUAAUCUUUGAAUAGUUUUGGGUAAUAUUUACGAAUUUAUACAUGUACAGUUUUGGAUGGUUUAUAAUUUUUUGGAUAAUUUAGAACUUAAGGAUAGUCCUUUUGGAUGGUUUUGAACUUACGAUUAGUUUUUGGAUGUUUGGGAUGUAUAUAUUGACAAUUUGUGAAUGUUCAUAAUUUAUGGAUAUGGUUUAUUUUUUA